CGUAGGGGGCAAGCGUUGUCCGGAUUUAUUGGGCGUAAAGAGCGUGUAGGCGGUUUGGUAGGUCCGCUGUGAAAACUCGAGGCUCAACCUCGAGACGCCGGUGGAAACCAUCAGACUAGAGUCCGGAAGAGGAGAGUGGAAUUCCUGGUGUAGCGGUGAGAUGCGCAGAUAUCAGGAAGAACACCCGUGGCUAAGGCGGCUCUCUAGUACGGUACUGACGCUGAGACGCGAAAGCGUGGGGAGCGAACAGG
rnacentral:rRNA from 1 species